AUACAUGCAAGUCGAGCGAGCUUGCCUAGAUGAAUUUGGUGCUUGCACCAAAUGAAACUAGAUACAAGCGAGCGGCGGACGGGUGAGUAACACGUGGGUAACCUGCCCAAGAGACUGGGAUAACACCUGGAAACAGAUGCUAAUACCGGAUAACAACACUAGACGCAUGUCUAGAGUUUAAAAGAUGGUUCUGCUAUCACUCUUGGAUGGACCUGCGGUGCAUUAGCUAGUUGGUAAGGUAACGGCUUACCAAGGCAAUGAUGCAUAGCCGAGUUGAGAGACUGAUCGGCCACAUUGGGACUGAGACACGGCCCAAACUCCUACGGGAGGCAGCAGUAGGGAAUCUUCCACAAUGGACGCAAGUCUGAUGGAGCAACGCCGCGUGAGUGAAGAAGGGUUUCGGCUCGUAAAGCUCUGUUGGUAGUGAAGAAAGAUAGAGGUAGUAACUGGCCUUUAUUUGACGGUAAUUACUUAGAAAGUCACGGCUAACUACGUGCCAGCAGCCGCGGUAAUACGUAGGUGGCAAGCGUUGUCCGGAUUUAUUGGGCGUAAAGCGAGUGCAGGCGGUUCAAUAAGUCUGAUGUGAAAGCCUUCGGCUCAACCGGAGAAUUGCAUCAGAAAUUGUUGAACUUGAGUGCAGAAGAGGAGAGUGGAACUCCAUGUGUAGCGGUGGAAUGCGUAGAUAUAUAGAAGAACACCAGUGGCGAAGGCGGCUCUCUG
rnacentral:rRNA from 1 species